GCACAUAUUGUGCUCAAUGUCAUCCUCACAAAAGACCAGUACCCUUUCCCUGCCCCAUUCCACACACAUGUAUUGAAUGCCAGACCAGUAGCGGGGGAGUCUUGGUCCUGACCUCAGGAGCUUCUAGCUCAGAGCUCCCAAAAGUGUUAUCAAACUGAUCUCAGGUCCUCUCACCCAAUGCACUGCAAAGCCAGUCAACUGGUACCAGGUGUGGUGAAGGAAAGUGCAGCAUACCUUUGAACAGUGCCAAGCAAGAAGAGAAGGUAGCCAAAGUGCCAAAGAUGUCCGACCUCUGAUGGCUUCCAGGAAAGGGUUUUUCAAAGCAGCAUUAGGGGUGAGGGUCACAGGGUGUAUGACCAUGUCAUGGACAUUUUUCUGAUUGGUUGGUGGUGAGUUAACAGAGUGAUCAAUCUUCUGCCUCCAACCAGUUUAGGCUCUAUAUGUUUGAGGUCAGCAGUUUCCAUCUGGUAGGGUCCUGGUUUCUGCCAAAACAGCAUAAGAAUAUGUGUCAGAAGGCUCUCCAUAGAGGGGUAACCUCAAGGAGAAGCUAGGGGUUUUGUGACUCUUUUUUCUGGUGGACCUAUUAUUUAAUUUGCUAUUACUUUCCCGCUUGACUGCUUCAUUUUUGUCCCUGAUUUCCCACUUCUCCAAUCAUCAAUUGCUGAGUCUGCUCUCAGAUAAGGCCUAAGAGGCUAAAAGCUUUUUCUACAAGCAAGAAGUGGGGAACACAGAUGUCUGUCACUGGGAAGGCCCCACAGGGCCUGUUUCUGUUUCACAAGGGUGGAGAGCUCCCAAAUCUCUGCUACCAGAUUAAUUCAUUAAUUAUACCAGUCGAUAUUUAUUUCUUUUUAAAUUUUACUUAUCUUCAGCUGCACGGGAUCUUUGUUGCUGCACGCAGCCUUUCUUUAGCUGUGAAAAUGGAGCUACUCUCUAGUCUCUAGUCUAGCCAGCUUGUCAUUGCUUUGGCUUGUCUUGUUGAGGAGCACAGAUUCUAGGGCACCACAGGCUUCAGUAGCUGCAGAAACGCGGGCUCGAGAUCCCUCAGGCUUCAGUAGUUGAGGUGCACUGGGCUUGGUUGCUCUGCUGGCAUGUGGAAUCUUCCCAGACCAGGGAUCAAACCCGUGUCCCCUGCAUUGGCAAGCGGAUUCUUAACCACUGGUCCACCAGGGAAGUCCAACAUAUAUCGAUUGCUUGAGCUCCCUCUGUAUGCUACUGGGCAACGGGGAGACAAUGUUUUCUGAGCCCCAGCCUUAGCUUCUAAACAACUUGCUGCCUGGUUGGGAAACAGACAAGAAAACUGGUAUAAGAACAGAAGAUGCUGAAGGCCCAAGGGGUGUUCUCCCACCAGCCUUGGGCAUCAGGGCUUUCCCAGAGGAGGGGACAUUUCAGCUGAGAAGGGGAGAGAAAUCAGCCUAUACAGGAGAGAGGAAGAGGUGUUUCUGGCAAUGGGAACAGUGUGUGCAGAAGCCUGCACAAGAGGUGUGUCAGAGGAAUUAAAGACAUCUUACUGAGACACAGUUUGGAGGCAGAUGCUAGAGGAGAAGGGAAGAUUGGGAGCCAAUCACCGCGCAAGAAGAGCCUUGCAGGCCGAUCUUUCGAAUUCAAGUUGCUUUUGAACUAUGGUGUUGGAGAAGACUCUUGAGAGUUCCUUGAGAGCAAGAAGAUCGAGUCAGUUAAUCCUAAAGGAAAUCAGUCCUGAAUAUUCAUUGGAAGGACUGAUGCUGAAGCUGAAGCUCCAAUACUUUGGCCACCUGAUGCAAAGAACUGACUCACUGGAAAAGACCCUGGUGCUGGGAAAGAUUGAAGGCAGGAGGAGAAGGCAAUGACAGAGGAUGAGAUGAUUGGAUGGUAUCACCGAUUCAGUGGACAUGAGUUUGAGCAAGCUCUGGGAGUUUGUGAUGGACGGGGAGGCCUGGUGUGCUGCAGUCCAUGGGAUUGAAAAGAGUUGGACACGAUUGAGUGACUGAACUUUCAUCAAGAGGCUCUUUAGUUUUUCUUUGCUUUCUGCCAUAAGGAUGAUGUCAUCUGUGUAGCUGAGGUUAUUGAUAUAAUAUUUGCUAUGCUAUCUGCUAGGAAUGCCCUUCCUCCAAUUCUACAGUGCUUAGGGAGACCUCUUCACUCUCCAGUUUCCUCUUUUCCAGGACACCUUUCCCAGCAUACCAAUCAGAGCCUCCUUCCCCCUUAGUCAUCUCCCAGCACUGACUGCAGAGAUCGGAUUCUGUGGCCCCACAUCCUUCUCCUGGACUCCAGGCAGGAUCCACCCCCUCCCCCAGCCUUGGACGUGGCGUGGACAUGGGUGUGGAUCCAGGCUGUAUUUUUUGAAUGAAUGAGUGAUUACAUGAACAUCUGUGUUGCAUAAACAGCCUAUUCCGAGAGUUGGUCCAAUCUUGUUUUAUAUUCCAGCCUUGUCUCCCCAAUAUCUCAGGAACUCAGUCUUCCUAUUUGUGAAAUGAGCACAGUAUUGCACCCACCUCUGGUUGCAGAGGAUUAAGGAAAAUAGGAUAUGUCAGGCACCCAGCAUGUUGCCAAGCACACAGUAGGCCUUCAGGAACCACGUGAGCUCUCUUGGUUUUUUUUUUUUUUUUCAGUGGCAUCCGACUCUGUGCGACCCCAUAGACGGCAGCCCACCAGGCUCCUCUGUCCAUGGGAUUUUCCAGGCAAGAGUACUGGAGUGGUGUGCUAUUGCCUUCUCCGUGAGCUCUCUUGUGCUCUCCAAUUAUGAGAAAUAAUUAUGAGAAACUUGGACUCAGGACUCAUGUCCUGCCUCAUCUAUUGCAGUACUCCCCCAUUCCCAACCUGCCCCAGGACAAGGCCAUUGAUAACAGAACUGUCAGAGGAAGAGGAGGAUUUGUUCCACAGGACAGUCCCAAGGGCUCUGAAUUCCAUGUCCCCCGCACAUAACAUUGCUUGCUACCCUGAUUACAGGGACUGGAGUCACAGAUAGACAAACAGCUGGACGGUGGAACCCUGAGUUUGAUGUCUUGAUUUUGGUCCUAGAAGCCAGGCAGCCCUUUACCCUCUGUCUGCACUCUGGCCCCAAGUGGCUACACCCCAUCUCAUGUUGAUGGCUCUCCCAUUUGCAUCACCAGCCCAACCUCUCCCCUGAACUUCAGACUCAAAUAUCCACCUGUACUGGGUCUUCUCACUGGGUACCUUGUAAGUAUCUCGCAUUCAGCCAGUCUGAAGCACAGGUCCCAGUUCCUCACCCUGAGAUCAACUUCUUCAUCAGCAUGGCAGGGGAAUGGCUGCACCAUCAUUCUGCUCCCCAGGUCCCCAAACCUCGACUCAUUCUCAUCACUUCUCUUCCUUCACCCCACAUGUCCAGUUCAUCCAGUUGUCCUGUAGGCUCAGACUUCAGAAUGAACCCAAACCUGCCCAGCACUCCUGUGGGUCCUGCCAGCUCCUUCCUGGAUCCUUCCCUGGCCUUCCACCACUUACAUUCCCGCCCUAAACAUCCCUGCUCCCCUGGGCAGCCUCAGAGAGAUCCUUAAAAUGAUAAAUCAGAGAUUCUUAAAAUGACGCUGAGCUCAGCACAGUGCAGUCACCCCUCCCCACCUCCAACCUGGGCAGUUGGGGCAUCAGAGAGAGGUCUGGCAUGGGGUUUGUG
ensembl:lncRNA